rnacentral:rRNA from 1 species
CCUACGGGCGGCAGCAGUGAGGAAUAUUGGUCAAUGGACGAGAGUCUGAACCAGCCAAGUCGCGUGGAGGAUGACUGCCCUAUGGGUUGUAAACUUCUUUUAUAUGGGAAUAAAAUGUUCCACGUGUGGGAUUUUGUAUGUACCAUAUGAAUAAGGAUCGGCUAACUCCGUGCCAGCAGCCGCGGUAAUCCGGAGGAUCCGAGCGUUAUCCAGAUUUAUUGGGUUUAAAGGGAGCGUAGGUGGAUUGUUAAGUCAGGUGUGAAAGUUUGCGGCUCAACCGUCAAAUUGCAGUUGAAACUGGCAGUCUAGAGUACAGGAGAGGUGGGCGGAAUUCGUGGUGUAGCGGUGAAAUGCUUAGAUAUCACGCAGAACUCCGAUUGCGAAGGCAGCUCACUGGUCUGCAACUGACACUGAGGCUCGAAAGUGUGGGUAUCAAACAGGAUUAGAUACCCUAGUAGUC